GGUGCUGCAUGGCUGUCGUCAGCUCGUGUCGUGAGAUGUUGGGUUAAGUCCGUACGAGCGCAACCCUUGUCCUUAGUUACCAGCACGUUAUGGUGGGCACUCUAAGGAGACUGCCGGUGGACAAACCGGAGGAAGGUGGGGAGUGACGUCAAGUCAUCAUGGCCCUUACGGCCUGGGCUACACACGUGCUACAAUGGUCGGUACAAAGGGUUGCCAAGCCGCGAGGUGGAGCUAAUCCCAUAAAACCGAUCGUAGUCCGGAUCGCAGUCUGCAACUCGACUGCGUGAAGUCGGAAUCGCUAGUAAUCGUGAAUCAGAAUGUCACGGUGAAUACGUUCCCGGGCCUU
rnacentral:rRNA from 1 species